rnacentral:rRNA from 1 species
GAUGAACGCUAGCUACAGGCUUAACACAUGCAAGUCGAGGGACCGGCGCGCGGGUGCGUAACACGUAUCCAACCUGCCCUUUACUCGGGGAUAGCCUUUCGAAAGAAAGAUUAAUACCCGAUAGAAAGGAUGGGGAUGCGUUCCAUUAGGGUGUGGGUGAGGUAACGGCUCACCAAGCCUUCGAUGGUUAGGGGUUAGGAGAGGAAGUACCACUAGAUUGGAGAUACGACACGGUCCAAACUCCGAGGGGGGGCAGCGGUGAGGAAUAUUGGGCAAGGGGCGCUAGCCUGAACAUGCCAAGUGUCUGAAAGGAUGAAGGCUUAUGGGUCGUAUACUUGUUGUAUAGAAGAAUAUUUAUUAUAUGAAUAAGGAUCGGCUAACUACGUGCCAGCAGCCGCGGUAAUUC